AGGCCGGUCUGGGUGAAAAUAGGGGGACGGACGCCAUGCUGCUUUCCGCCGUCUCUUUUGCCAAGAGCAAGUCAAAAACUAUUCUGGUAAAACUGGUGAGCCAAGCCGGGACAGGUUUCUCCUUCAACCACAAGAGAAGCCGACUCCGAGAGAAGCUGACCCUUCUGCACUAUGAUCCAAUAGUGGUAACUCAUAAAUCAAGUUAAAAUGUCUCCAGAAAUUGCCUUGAACCGAAUUUCUCCAAUGCUCUCCCCAUUCAUAUCAAGCGUGGUCCGAAAUGGGAAGGUGGGACUGGAUGCUACAAACUGUU
ensembl:processed_transcript